GGGUUGGGCUUAUAUUGUCCUGAAGAAAGGUGAUGACUUAAAAAUCAUGCUCAAUAGUAUUAUGCUGAAGCCC
ensembl:snoRNA SNORD115 Small nucleolar RNA SNORD115